UACGAAGGGUGCAAACGUUGCUCGGAAUCAUUGGGCGUAAAGCGCACGUAGGCGGCUUCGCAAGUCGGAUGUGAAAUCCCGUGGCUCAACCAUGGACGUGCAUCCGAAACUGUGAGGCUUGAGUAUGGAAGAGGGUCGCGGAAUUCCCGGUGUAGAGGUGAAAUUCGUAGAUAUCGGGAGGAACACCAGUGGCGAAGGCGGCGACCUGGGCCAAUACUGACGCUGAGGUGCGAAAGCGUGGGGAGCGAACAGG
rnacentral:rRNA from 1 species